rnacentral:sRNA from 1 species
AUAUCUCUCUGUACGGGAAGGAUGAGAAGCUUCGACCAAGGUUCGAUUCGAGCGCAGCGAGAAAGCGUUGCCGCAGGCAACGACCCGAAGGACGAAGCGCGCAGCGCUGAGUCAUCCUUCCCCCACCACCA